GGGGAUAGCCUGCGGGAAUAUGCAAAUUUUUAUUUGCCCUGGGGCAUAGCCCGAGCGACGCCUAGGGCUAAAUUUCAAAAAUUUCGAAAUUUNNNNNNNNNNCCAGUUGUUGUUGUGUGCAGUUGUCGUAUGUUUUCGAAAGGGAAUCCGGUUGAUAUUCCGGAACCGAGUAACGGAGACAAAGAGUAGCGCUUUAAUCUCUCUGUGGGGUUGGCGUUCAACUCAAUCGCGCGGUAACGCAAGCGAACUCGGAAAAUGACCGUCGUGAGUUUCGAAAAGAGUUUUCUUUUCUUUUUAAGGGACGCAUUCCCUGGAACCGGGUUGUCCGGAGAUAGGGAUUCUGGUAUCCAUAAAACGCCGACUUUUUCACGGUGUUCGGAGCGCUCUCGUCGGUACGUGAAAAUCCGAGCGACGCCUGGUAAAUCUCGUACUUGGUCGUACUGAUAUCCGCAGCAGGUCUCCUAGGUGAAUAGCCUCU
rnacentral:ncRNA from 1 species